UAGCAGAAAAAUUAUUUUUAUUCUUUACUAAUUUUCAACUUAUCCUCAUGGCAUUUCCUUACUGCAUGAACAGAUAUUUCCUUCUGAGUUUUACUCUACCUUUUCAGCAGGGGUUGUCUUUUCUUGCCUGUACCUGGAUGUCAGGAAAAGUUACAUAUAUGGUGCUCUGAAAAUGCAGCCUUGAAGGAAUGCUGUUUAGUUGGUCUGGAAUAAAAGAACCACAACACAGCCGCGACUGGCCCAGCUCAGCUGAUAUGGGCUCGCAGGGCUAGGGCUGCAGGACUGAAAAUUGCUGUGUAGACUUUCAGGCUCAGACUGGAGCCCACGCUCUGGGAUCCUGCCCUCUCUCGUCGUCCCAGAGCUGUCUGUCACUGUGAUUUAACCGUUUGAAACUAGAAUGAGAGUCGGCAUCAUGUAACGGUUAGCUCUCCAUGGACUGCCGGCAAAAUGCUCCAUGGACCAUAGUUUGAAAAUUGUUGGACUAGCUGAUGCUGUGGUCCAAUAGAUGACCAUUGUGCUUCAUCAAUGCAUAAGUCUUAAAUGCACAAGAAGGAAAAGAUGCUAUAAAUAAGACUGCAGGUCACGAAAACAGGACAGAGCCAUGGAUGUGUGUUGGGCUGCUCCAGUUCUUACGGUGUAAAUCUGGAUUCCCGAAAGCAUCACAUUACAACAGAACAUGAUUUGGAGAUGAAUGAAACAAAAUCUAAUUUGAUCUCAAAAGUAUAAAUGGCUGAUGCCGGCUGAUGACUCUGGUUUACGCAUUAACAGACAUUGGAAGAAAAUCAUGGAAAAGUUAGGAAAUAAAUGUCCUACAUUUGUACUGAAAUUUCUGUAGUGAAAAUAGACCCCUUCUCAGGUAACUGCUGUUACUUUCGCUACAACUUCUCUCCUCUGUUGAGCUGUAUUUGAGUAAAGCAGAAAGACCGGAGAGAUCAUUGCUCUUGCCCUUGAAAAUGGCUUCUGAAGCAAGCAAGGCAGUUUGGCAGCAUUAAAAUUAAUUGCUCUUCUGAACAUGCAGCUGGUUGCUUAUUUGGUCUCUCCAUAGUGCUAAACGUUUCCCCUUAAAGAACGUAGUCACCAUCAGAGCGUGGCAUGGUUUGGACUGUGAGUUGUGGCUGUAACUGCAGACAGCAAGAGAGCCUCUUCAGAUCCCUACUUACAAGCUCCCAUCAUGGAGUGCGUAUUACUCUUUAAACACAAAUUUAAAGAUGACAGACACCAGGUGGAAUGUCGUAGAUUCUUCAUAAAAACAUCCAUCCUGGGUCAGAGCAAUGGUCCAUCUAGCCAGGUGCUUCAAAGGGAAGUAGCAGAACAGGGCAGUUAUCGAGUGACCCAUCAUCCCCUGUCAGCCAGUCCCAGCUUCUGGCAAUCCGAGAGUAGGGACACUCAGAGCAUGGGGUUGUAUCCCUGGCCAUCUUGGCUAUCGAUCUUGGCUAUCACAUUUGUUUCCUUGCAAUCCACUAGCACUUUGUUAUAAGAAGUAAGCAGUAAGUUCAAAAGUGUCCUCCUGGGAAGUUCUCCGGUGGCUUAGUGCCUACGUUAUUUUUAUAUGUUAGUAGUCAAAAACUGUCUUUGUAGAUCUUAAAAUAAGCUUUUUUUAAUGUUCUGGAAAUGUCUCUCACUGCUGUUGAGGGGGUGUUUAUAAUCAAACACUUUGUCAUCUGUUUUAUAAGAUUUAAAGCUUUAAAAAGUUAUUUACAUCUUUUGUGUGACCGCAAGCUGCUUUGAGUUUUAUUUAGCAAUAAGAAAUCUUUUCCACAAAUGAAGAAACUAUAAUUGAAGAUGUGUGCUAUUUACUAUGUGUUAUUUGGAAUAGUCCUUUUUCUUAAAUAAAAGGGAUACUGAAUAAAGA